GUUCCACUUCCUUGCUCUCUUCCACAUCUCCAGCAACAACCCCUGACCCUGACACAUUCACCUCACUCUCUUCCACAUCUCCAACGACAGCAACCCCUGGCGCAGACACAUUCACUUCACUCUCGUCCACAUCUCCAACAACAGCAACCCCUGGCGCUGCCACAUUCACUUUACUCUCUUCCACAUCUCCAACAACAGCAACCCCUGGCGCAGACACAUUGACAUUGACAUCAAUAGCAUCCACAACUGCAUCUCCAUCCGGAGUAAAUUUCUCACCAUCUGCUCCAACCAACAAAGACUCCGACGGUUCAACAACCUCCUUAUUGGGUUUUGCGGCAUCAUCACUAGGAAUAGCACUCUCUUCC
rnacentral:lncRNA from 1 species